UACUCCUACGGGAGGCAGCAGUGAGGAAUAUUGGACAAUGGAUGGAAAUCUGAUCCAGCCAUGCCGCGUGCAGGAAGACAGCCCUAUGGGUUGUAAACUGCUUUUGUAUGGGAGCAAUAAGGUCUACGACUAGAUCGAUGAGAGUACCAUACGAAUAAGGAUCGGCUAAUCUC
rnacentral:rRNA from 1 species